UACGUAGGGUGCAAGCGUUGUUCGGAAUCAUUGGGCGUAAAGCGCGUGUAGGUGGUUUGUUAAGUCGAUUGUGAAAUCCCUGGGCUCAACCGAGGAAGUGCAGUCGAAACUAACUGACUAGAAGAUGGUAGAGGAAGGUGGAAUUCCAAGUGUAGAGGUGAAAUUCGUAGAUAUUUGGAGGAAUACCAGAGGCGAAGGCGGCCUUCUGGGCCAUUCUUGACACUGAGACGCGAAAGCGUGGGUAGCAAACAGG
rnacentral:rRNA from 1 species